rnacentral:rRNA from 1 species
CCUACGGGAGGCAGCAGUAGGGAAUCUUCCGCAAUGGACGAAAGUCUGACGGAGCAACGCCGCGUGAGUGAUGAAGGUUUUCGGAUCGUAAAACUCUGUUGUUAGGGAAGAACAAGUAUCGGAGUAACUGCCGGUACCUUGACGGUACCUAACCAGAAAGCCACGGCUAACUACGUGCCAGCAGCCGCGGUAAUACGUAGGUGGCAAGCGUUGUCCGGAAUUAUUGGGCGUAAAGCGCGCGCAGGUGGUCUCUUAAGUCUGAUGUGAAAGCCCCCGGCUCAACCGGGGAGGGUCAUUGGAAACUGGGAGACUUGAGUGCAGGAGAGAAGAGUGGAAUUCCACGUGUAGCGGUGAAAUGCGUAGAGAUGUGGAGGAACACCAGUGGCGAAGGCGACUCUUUGGCCUGUAACUGACACUGAGGCGCGAAAGCGUGGGGAGC